AACGAACGCUGGCGGCAGGCCUAACACAUGCAAGUCGAGCGCGCCCUUCGGGGUGAGCGGCGGACGGGUGAGUAACGCGUGGGAACGUGCCCUUUUCUACGGAAUAGCCUCGGGAAACUGAGAGUAAUACCGUAUACGCCCUUUGGGGGAAAGAUUUAUCGGAAAAGGAUCGGCCCGCGUUGGAUUAGGUAGUUGGUGGGGUAAUGGCCUACCAAGCCGACGAUCCAUAGCUGGUUUGAGAGGAUGAUCAGCCACACUGGGACUGAGACACGGCCCAGACUCCUACGGGAGGCAGCAGUGGGGAAUCUUAGACAAUGGGGGCAACCCUGAUCUAGCCAUGCCGCGUGAGUGAUGAAGGCCUUAGGGUUGUAAAGCUCUUUCAGCUGGGAAGAUAAUGACGGUACCAGCAGAAGAAGCCCCGACUAACUCCGUG
rnacentral:rRNA from 1 species